GCACGGGUGGCGAAAUUGGUAGACGCACUACCUUGAGGUGGUAGCGCCCAUUAGGGCAUGGAGGUUCGAGUCCUCUCCCGUGCA
rfam:Parcubacteria bacterium C7867-002 C7867_00713, whole genome shotgun sequence.